CAAUGCUCUUCUCUGCUUUGCUCACUUUAAGCCUCCCUUAAUUUUUUGAAGCCCAGUUUCCACAUUGCUGAUUCACAGAUACGCAAGACUCAGGCAGGAAAAAGAAAAGUGUCUCCUUUUCCAGACUUCUUAGGACUUGGAAAGAAAAUGAAAUGACGUUGAACGAAAUCAAAGUAAAUUGAGUGAUCUGAAACGAUUCGAUGUCAGCAAGAAUUCCGCAUACAGCUCACAGCCCUCCUCCCAGCACACCUCCCUCUUGGGUAUGGUGAGUUCAGCUCCAAAUUUAUUCUGACAAGAAAGCACAGGCAAUGGCUCCAGUGGGUCUAAAUCAGGUGAAAAUUCAAAGCAACCACCCUUCCUGGACAACCUUCUGCUUUCCCAGUGCUUAUCAUGGUCUGAAAAUUCCUAUUUAAAGAAGCAGAGCUUUCUUUUAAGUCCUAACAGAACAAAGUCACACUCAGUGCACAGGCACACGCCGGGCUCGAGGAUGCAUUUUUGGCAGAAAGGCUCCUCUUUUCUCUGUCUCCUCCAGCUCCCUGCAGGCCCAAACCUUGCAGAAGCCAUUCCAUGUUCCCUUAACAGGAAAAGACAAACUCAGACCCACAACCUUGGACUUCAAAAGACGGCACACAAGGGGAGGAAGGACUGAGAGUACCAAGGCGUGAAAAUUCAGAAUGCUGCUAUCUCAUUUAUUUUUACCAUUUAGGAAACGUUUUGAUCUGCAUUCUUUUCCCUUCCCUGAUUUCAAAAAAUAAAAACAAAAAUGCUUCGGUU